rnacentral:rRNA from 1 species
AUUGAACGCUGGCGGCAGGCCUAACACAUGCAAGUCGAACGAGUGGCGGACGGGUGAGAAAUGUCUGGGAAACUGCCUGAUGGAGGGGGAUAACUACUGGAAACGGUAGCUAAUACAGCAUACCAUCGGAUGUGCCCAGAUGGGAUUAGAGAGUAGGUGGGGUACCGGCGCACCUAGGCGACGAUCCCUAGCUGGUCUGAUAGGAUGACCAGCCACACUGGAACGGAGACACGGUCCAUACUCCUACGGGAGGCAGCAGUGGGGAAUAUUGCACAAUGGGCGCAAGCCUGAUGCAGCCAUGCCGCGUGUAUGAAGAAGGCCUUCGGGUUGUAAAGUACUUUCAGCGGGGAGGCGUUACCCGCAGAAGAAGCACCGGCUAACUCCGUGCCAGCAGCCGCGGUAAUUC